AUGCAGUUUAUACUACAAGUACUAACCGUUAACGCUUCGAGCACCUUCGGGUUCUCGGUAAUGAGCCUGAUGCCUAGCGUGAGGGCCAAGGCAGUAGUCUCGAAGCUCGCGAAGAGGAGCACGAACAUGAGGUCCAGGGCCACGGUCUCGGUAAGGACGGGCUUCUCCCUCCUCAGCUCCUCGAUCAUCACGUCGAGGAAGUCCUCGGGCUGCCUCCCCUCGUCCGCCAUCCUCUCCCUCAUCAUCCUCUUGAGCACAGUCAUGGCGUUCCUUCUCCCCUGCACAGACAUGCAAUUGCAGCUCCGUCAAGCGUUCCAGGAAGAGAAUAGAGAAGCUUAA
rnacentral:rRNA from 1 species